rnacentral:rRNA from 1 species
GACGAACGCUGGCGGCGUGCUUAACACAUGCAAGUCGAACGGUGAAGCGCCUUCCUUUUUGGUGGGUGUGGAUGAGUGGCGAACGGGUGAGUAACACGUGAGUAACCUGCCCCCUUCUUCUGGAUAACCGCAUGAAAGUGUGGCUAAUACGGGAUAUUCUGGGUCUGUCGCAUGAUGGGUCUGGGAAAGAUAUUGUUUCGGGGGGGAUGGGCUGGCGGCCUAUCAGCUUGUUGGUGGGGUGAUGGCCUACCAAGGCGGUGACGGGUAGCCGGCCUGAGAGGGUGGACGGUCACACUGGGAGUGAGACACGGCCGAGACUCCUACGGGAGGCAGCAGUGGGGAAUAUUGCACAAUGGGGGAAAGCCUGAUGCAGCGACGCCGCGUGAGGGAUGGAGGCCUUCGGGUUGUGAACCUCUUUCGCCAGUGAAGCAGGCCUGCCUCGUUUGUGGGUGGGUUGACGGUAGCUGGAUAAGAAGCGCCGGCUAACUACGUG